rnacentral:rRNA from 1 species
GCUCUACUGGGUCGCACCUGACCCUCAAGGGACGAAAGCUAAGUUAGCGAAAGGGAUUAGAUACCCCUGUAGUCUUAGCCGUAAACGAUGGAUACUAGGCGUGGUUUGUAUCGACCCAUAGCCGUGCCGAAGCUAACGCGUUAAGUAUCCCGCCUGGGGAGUACGCACGCAAGUGUGAUACUCAAAGGAAUUGACGGGGGCCCGCACAAGCGGUGGAGGAUGUGGUUUAAUUCGAUGCAACGCGAAGAACCUUACCAGGGCUUGACAUCCCGCGAAUCUUGCUGAAAGGCGAGAGUGCCUUCGGGAGCGCGGAGACAGGUGGUGCAUGGCUGUCGUCAGCUCGUGUCGUGAGAUGUUGGGUUAAGUCCCGCAACGAGCGCAACCCUCGUCCUUAGUUGCCAGCAUUAAGUUGGGCACUCUAGGGAGACUGCCGGUGACAAACCGGAGGAAGGUGAGGAUGACGUCAAGUCAGCAUGCCCCUUAUGCUCUGGGCAACACACGUCCUACAAUGGUCGGGACAAAGGGGAGCAAGCUCGCGAGAGUAAGCGAAUCCCAGCAAACUCGGCCUCAGUUCAGAUUGCAGGCUGCAACUCGCCUGCAUGAAGGAGGAAUCGCUAGUAAUCGCAGGUCAGCAUACUGCGGUGAAUUCGUUCCCGGGCCUUGACACACCGCCCGUCACACCAUGGAAGCUGGCCAAGCCCGAAGUCGUU